rnacentral:rRNA from 1 species
GACGGAGGAGGCUAGCGUUGUUCGGAAUUACUGGGCGUAAAGCGCGCGCAGGCGGUCAUGCAAGUCAGGGGUGAAAGCCCGGGGCUCAACCUCGGAACUGCCCUUUUGGGACUGCGUGACUCGAGACCGAGGGAGGAGAGUGGAAUUCCCAGUGUAGAGGUGAAAUUCGUAGAUAUUGGGAAGAACACCAGUGGCGAAGGCGGCUCUCUGGCUCGGACCUGACGCUGAGGCGCGAAAGCGUGGGGAGCAAACAGGAUUAGAUACCCUAGUAGU